rnacentral:rRNA from 1 species
CAACUUGAGAGUUUGAUCCUGGCUCAGAACGAACGCUGGCGGCAGGCUUAACACAUGCAAGUCGAGCGAGGACUUCGGUCCUAGCGGCGGACGGGUGAGUAACGCGUGGGAACGUGCCCUUUGCUACGGGAUAGUCCUGGGAAACUGGGUUUAAUACCGUAUGGUGUCUACGGACUAAAGAUUUAUCGGCAAAGGAUCGGCCCGCGUUGGAUUAGGUAGUUGGUGGGGUAAUGGCCUACCAAGCCGACGAUCCAUAGCUGGUUUGAGAGGAUGAUCAGCCACACUGGGACUG